AAAAAAGAGGGCUUUUUAAGAAAACACCCUUUAAGAAAAAGUUUUUUAUAAAAUUAAAGAAAAAUUUUCUUGUAAGAGUGUAUUUUUUAUCUAAGAGUUUGCUCUUUUAUUUGAGAGUUUGCUUUUUUAAGAGUUUUCCGGGGAAGGUUUUCCGGUUUAUCCCGGAGGGCUUGUAGCUCAGUUGGUUAGAGCGCGCGCUUGAUAAGCGUGAGGUCGGAGGUUCAAGUCCUCCCAGGCCCACCAAUUUAGAAUUACCAAUUGGAAUUGCUUAACCCACUGUUGAGAAACUCCCUCCUUUAUGAGAGAAAUCUCUAAAAACAAGAGAAAGCUCUUGAGAGCCUCAAAUGAUGGAUUUCAAAUUCUCAAUAAGAUUUAAACCCAUCAGAUCUAAAUCAAUAAGGUUUAAAAGUGUUGGUAAAAUGUUCAUAAUAUAUUUUAUAAAAAUAUUAAGAGUUAUGGAGAUAUUAAGAGAUUUUUCGGACACUAUUGAUAAAUCUUGGCAAGAAAAUUGAUAAAUAUCGGGAAAUUGAUAAAAAUCGGUUUA
rnacentral:misc_RNA from 1 species